GUUGAUGAGCGCCAGGACGAAGGCGUCCCUGCAGAGCAGCAGAAGAAGAAGAUCAGAACCUCUGGAGCAACGCCGCGGUUCGGUUCCAUCGACACCAGCUGAACCGAACCCCGGUACUCCAUUAAGGUUCUGUCCGGUUCUGUGGUUCUGUCCGGUUCGGAGGUUCUGUCCGGUUCUAAGGUUCUGUCUGGUUCUAACGUUCUGUUUGGUUCUAAGGUUCUGUCUGGUUCUAAGGUUCUGUCCGGUUCUAAGGUUCUGUCCGGUUCUGUCUGGUUCUAAGGUUCUGUUCGGUUCUAAGGUUCUGUUCGGUUCUGAGGUUCUGUCUGGUUCUAAGGUUCUGUCCGGUUUGGAGGUUCUGUCCGGUUCUAAGGUUCUGUCCGGUUCUAAGGUUCUGUCCGGUUCUGUCUGGUUCUAAGGUUCUGUUCGGUUCUGAGGUUCUGUCUGGUUCUAAGGUUCUGUUCGGUUCUAAGGUUCUGUUUGGUUCUGUCUGGUUCUAAGGUUCUGUUCGGUUCUAAGGUUCUGUCCGGUUCUGUCUGGUUCUAAGGUUCUGUCCGGUUCUGAGGUUCUGUCUGGUUCUGA